CCCUGGCAGUUCAGAUGGUAAAGAACCUGCCUGCAGUGCAGGAGACCUGGGUUCAAUCCCUGGGUCAGGAA
rnacentral:tRNA from 1 species